CUGCCACGCGCGGGAGAGUGCGGACGUGUCCGCCGCCGAAGGAGCAACCGCCCCGGAAUCUCUCAGGCAACAGGGACCGCGCGGGGUAC
rnacentral:ncRNA from 2 species